AAUCGCGUGGUUUUAACAGUGUUACUUAUGCACAGGAUGUAAAUGGAAAAAAAAACAGUUAUCGAUGGAAUUUUGCGAGAACAUGACAGAAAAUAAUUAUCUCUAUAGUUUUAAAGCCGUCGAUUUAAUCAAAACGAAAUUUUAAUUGUGAAUCCAUUACCUGGAAAAUAAAAAAUCUAGAGUGAAUGAGCCUCAAAGCUGAAGCCUUAGGAGCCUUUUUGAGCAGACGGACAUGCAGUGACUGACCCCCCCGGAAGGGAGACUCCCUCACCGGGUCUGAAAAAAAUGUCAAAUUUGUCAUCGAUCGAUUUUCUGUCCAAACUACUUGUGAAUUUUUGAAUUUUAAUUUUAAAUCAGGAGUGCAGCUUGUCCGCAGCUGACGAGGCUAGUGGAUUUAACAAGCCAAAAACUUUAUUAACAAAUUACAAAACAAAUGUGCUGAUUCUAUUAACGUUUUUGUGAACAUAAAAAAAUCAUUUUAAGAUUCAUUUUAAACGCUUCACGGGGUUUGCCAGUGGAUUACAAUUGGAUUACAUUCUCCUGUCGUUCCGUUUUUUAUUUUUGAUUAGCAGAUUCUGUUCAAAUAUUUUACCUCAGUAUCUGUGCUGAUACAUUUUGCUUUUAUGACCUUUUUCAUAUUUUUUUGGAAGCAGAGUCAGUCUGGUUUUGGGGGUCACAGCCCUCCUCCUGACCGCAGGGUGAGAGGUCAGACGGCCUCUGCGGAGGCCGCUUCACUCCCAACGUCACCGGAGUUUAAAUCCUUUGAAGGGAUCCGUCCACCUUAAGCAGUGUAGUUCCGGGUCAGAGAGGCAGAAUCUCAGCGCGCAGGCUUCUGGGAAUUGUCAGCUGACGUCUGAAUGGAUGUUGCCGUGGCGACUGGUGUAAAGAUAACAGGAGAAUGAUGGAUUGGAGGUGGUGCUGUCACAUAAAUGAAGGUGGACAGCAUUGGAUGGGAAUGCUGCGUCUUCACACCUGUGGGUCCGAUGUUCUCCACCUUCCCUGGGGUCCAGCACUCGAGUGGGUCAGCCGGAGGGUCAGAAAAUUUUGACGUGGAAGACAUCAGAGAAAGGACAGACCAUGCCUUCCCAAAAAUCUGGGCUUCUGCUCAGGAUUUAUUCAUUUUUUCAGAGGCGCCACCAGUGAACAAAGGCAAAUAAACCACCGGAGGGACGAUCCAACGGCCUCCGCCCAUCCCUCCCUCCAGCUCCUGGUACACCAAUCAUCCGCGACGUGCAAAGAGGAAGGUGAGUGGGUGCUGGGGGUGGGGGGUAAAAAUAAAAGCGGGGUGGAAAUACGCCUGACCAAGUACUUGUUCCUUUCCGUCCCUUCCUGCACCCCUCCUCUCAUCCCAAAAAAAGCAUUC